ACACAUGCCAAGCCGAGCGGAAGGAGAUUCUUCGGAAUCUUGCAGAGCGGCGCACGGGUGCGGAACACGUGUGCAACCUACCUUUAUCAGGGGGAUAGCCUUUCGAAAGGAAGAUUAAUACCCCAUAAUAUAUUGAAUGGCAUCAUUUAAUAUUGAAAACUCCGGUGGAUAGAGAUGGGCACGCGCAAGAUUAGAUAGUUGGUGAGGUAACGGCUCACCAAGUCAAUGAUCUUUAGGGGGCCUGAGAGGGUGAUCCCCCACACUGGUACUGAGACACGGACCAGACUCCUACGGGAGGCAGCAGUGAGGAAUAUUGGACAAUGGGUGAGAGCCUGAUCCAGCCAUCCCGCGUGAAGGACGACGGCCCUAUGGGUUGUAAACUUCUUUUAUACUGGGAUAAACCUACUUACGUGUAAGUAGCUGAAGGUAC
rnacentral:rRNA from 1 species